rnacentral:lncRNA from 1 species
UUUAGCCAAGCUGACUCACCGGUACAACACCAGAGCUAAUCGUCCAAAAUAUCAUGGAACACCUUGAGCAAGAGAACCUAGACUUUAAGAGGAGAUUGCCCGACUGACUGCCAUGAUGGAGUCAGUUCUUGCUGCCUAGAGCUAAGCUUCUCCAACUCUUGCAACUCCUCCCGCGAGGACUGUCAUCUCUGAAGUGGUUA